UACGUAGGGUCCGAGCGUUGUCCGGAAUUAUUGGGCGUAAAGGGCUCGUAGGCGGUUCGUCACGUCGGGAGUGAAAACUCGGAGCUCAACUCCGAGCCUGCUUCCGAUACGGGCAGACUAGAGGUAGGCAGGGGAGAGCGGAACUCCUGGUGUAGCGGUGGAAUGCGCAGAUAUCAGGAAGAACACCGGUGGCGAAGGCGGCUCUCGUGGGCCUACCUGACGCUGAGGAGCGAAAGCGUGGGGAGCGAACAGG
rnacentral:rRNA from 1 species